AAUUAAGGUAGCACAGGACUUGUAUGACAUGUUUUACACAAGGAUGACUUUACAUCGACGGGCAUAUCAGCACAAAACUCACAAAAUCAUCGGAAUGAUGAUUUGCGAUGCAUUAGAAUUAGCAGAUGCUCAUUUUACAAUACAUGGCAAAAGAAUUUCAGAAACUGUUGACGAUAUGGAAGCCUACACAUAUUUGAAUGAUGACGUCAUUCAGUUGAUUAUUAAUGAUAAUAAUCCAAAGCUUAAAGCAGCACAAAAUAUUUUACAGGACAUAAUGCACAGACGGUUGUUUAAAUGUGUCACACAAACACAUU